CCUACGGGGGGCAGCAGUGAGGAAUAUUGGUCAAUGGCCGGAAGGCUGAACCAGCCAUGCCGCGUGAAGGUCAGUGCCCUAUGGGCGUUAAACUUCUUUUGUGCGGGAGCAAUAAUGGUCACGUGUGGCCAGACGAGAGUACCGUACGAAUAAGCAUCGGCUAACUCCGUGCCAGCAGCCGCGGUAAUACGGGGGAUGCAAGCGUUAUCCGGAUUUAUUGGGUUUAAAGGGUGCGUAGGCUGUGAGGUAAGUCAGCGGUGAAAUGCCCACGCUCAACGGGGUGAAGUGCCAUUGAUACUGCCUGGCUGGAAUGCGGAUGCCGUGGGAGGAAUGUGUGGUGUAGCGGUGAAAUGCAUAGAUAUCACACAGAACACCGAUUGCGAAGGCAUCUCACGAAGCCGCGAUUGACGCUGAUGCACGAAAGCGUGGGUAUCAAACAGGAUUAGAUACCCUAGUAGUC
rnacentral:rRNA from 1 species